ensembl:snRNA U2 U2 spliceosomal RNA
AUCGCUUCUUGACCUUUUGGCUAAGAUCAAGUGUAGUAUCUGUUCUUAUCAGUUUAAAAAGUAAGUGAUGACUUAUAAAAAUAAAUGCACCAAACCUUCU